AGGAGGGCGUGGGAAACUUAUGCAGGUGUGUGCAAGUUUCCCGCAGAGAAACUUCUGGGAGAUACUGGAUCUCCUGAACCUGUGAGUUCAGCGUGGGGAGAUUCUGUUCAGGUAACUUCUAGUUACCCUGACCAGCGCGCCUCCCUCCUACUCCCUUCUCCUGUUUGUAGUUUUCAGAGCUGUUUACACAAUCUCUUGAUGUCUCUCCUGUCCAUAAGCCCAAGUUACUAAGCCUGAUCCAUGCUGCUGCUUUGAUAUUGGCGACUGUGUUCCCCAGCCCUCUGUGUACCUUGAUCCAACCCAGAGCAGAUCUAAGGGAGGAUGGGAGACAUCAGUGAGGACUGACCCUUGUGACUGUCCCGUUGGAUGCGCAGACCAAAAGCCAAGUGAUGACGAAACAGAAGUCUUCCUUUGCCCUUUUCCAUGGACCCCUUUUAUGGAAGAAGAGACUCCUCAGGUUAUUACAACAAGGAUGAUGACAGAGCCUGGACCUCCAGCAGCAAGAGGGGAGGCAUUGAAAUGUACCUCUUUCUGGAUGAAGACCUGGCCCAAGUUCAGAGUCAUGAGUUAAAGACUGAGACAUACUGAAUAGGCGUGGAUAAUUUGAUUAAAUCCAACUGCUGUUUAUGGAGGACCUACUGUGUGUGCCAGACUCCGUGUGACGGGGAGUUCUGAGCAGCGGGGCUCCAAGGAGCCAAGUCAUGAAGGACAUCAUAGGCCAUGCUGAGGAUUCGUUUUACUGUAUCCUCAGGGCACAGGUUCUGGAAGCUGAAAAACCCAAGACCAAGGCGCUGGCAGAUUCAGUGUCUGGUGAGAGUCUACUUCCUGGUUUGUAGACGGCCAUCUUCUCUCUGUGUCCUCACAUGGCUGCAGGGUCAAGAGCGAUUCCUGUGGUUUUAUAAGGGCACCAUAUAUAAGGGCUCCGCACUCAGGGCCUAAUCACCUCCCAAAGUCCCCGUCUCCAAAUACCAUGCCAUCGGGCAUGAGGAUUUAACAUGAAUUUGGGGGAGACCAGUCUAUAGCACAGAUCUUAGAAAUCUGGUCCUGGGCUCCCACACCUCCCAGCUGCAACUGGUUCAUGAAGAGGACCUGGUGCUCACAGUAGAGUGGGGAGGAUGUGCAGGAACUGGGAGGGUUUUCAGAGCUGGGCCCACACCUGCUCCACCUCAGUGAGACCCUGGAUUAGCAGAGGAGUUUUGAAGGAGCCCAGGGCUGGACGCACCUGUGUGAGUGGGAUGGUGCAGUGAUGGGCCAACUGUGGGCACCCUCCUUGAUGACUGAGCCCUGAUUUGGACAUCUAACGGAGGUGGUGUGUGGGAAGAACAGACACUGACUCUGCUUUGUCCGUGGCCCAACAACCGUAGCUGCUACCCCUGGAGACGUUUUCUGGUGAUGCAGAGGCUCAGCCCUCCUUCCUCCUUAAGAUGUUCAUAGCAAGUAUGAAUUUCCAUCCAAAAAUGCAGGUGGGCAAAAAGCAAAAAUGAUCAUUUUUAUUGCGAACCCCCAUUCUGCUGGACUGGUGGACAUUCAGCCUUCCAGUUGGGGCUCUCCCCCUUUUCUGGAGUUUGUGGCUCAAUUUGGGAGUACCUGGGUGGUGCGAAGGCUUAGGGAAGGCCCCAGCUGGCCCUGAGACACCUGUGCUCCCAGGUGUCCCCUGAGGUGUCUGCUGUACAUCUAUCCCACGUUCGUCAAUUCACGUGUGUCCCACUGAGAAGGCCUUGUCUCUCGGACACAUGGGCCGGCUUGACCAUGUCCGAAUCUCUGCUUCAGUGCCCUGGUGGUGCCACCUGUGACCCUGCUACUUGGACCUGUCAGAUGAAUGCUCCUUCUCUGAGGUCUCGCUGGGGCACAGCCACCUCUUGAAGACAGCCCCCCCCCCCCCCCCCAAUGCUCUUGCUUUUUCAUUUCUCCUCACCGGUGACUUCCUCAGCUACCUGCACGGUGAAAUCCCUCCCUCCGUAAAUGGUGAUUUUUAAAAAAAAUUUUUUUUUGCCAGGGAAACUUACCACUAUUAUUAUUUCCAAAACAUUAUUCUUCCACAGUAUCUUCCUAAUAAGUUCCUGUGUCCCCACAAAGAAGGGAGACACCGGGCUCUACCCCCACACAAACUGUGCCUAGCUCUGUGGGUGAAUCAUUCCCCGGGGUCAUCAGAGAGAGAGCUAGCCAAGAUUGGACAGUGGGCAAAGAUCUCUCCUCCCUCCUCCUGGUGCUGUACUCUUCCCUGAUUGGAGCACCGAGUCCUCCCCAGCUAGGGGCCCAGCAGAACUUUUCUUGAAUUUGGAUUAGCUUCUGAGUGUCUCCCUCAAAUGGGGACGCUUUCCCUGUAGACUCUGCCUUAAAAGCAGCAGUAAAUGCACACUGCCUCCUGCCCUUGAUCUCCAGCCACAUCUGCUUCUUCCUCAGUUAUCGUCCCAUCCCUGGGCCUCAGCUGCCUGAUGUGGCAGGGGUGUGGGGUCAGCUGGGUCUAGAAUCUUGUGGGACCCUCAUGGCUCCUGCCUCUGCUCCCCUGGUCUCCCGAGACCUUUCCAAGCACACCUCACUUUCACACUUUCAGCUGAAAGUUCUGGAUUUAUGGGUCAAGACUCCCAUGAAAUGUCAACAAAUCCUAGAAGACAGCCCAAGAGGACACUUACAGGUCCUAAACUCUAGAGAGUGGUCUUAGCACUAUGCCUUGUUCACUGUAGCUUUGCUGCGGGUUCAGAAUCUUCCCCUGAAUUCCGUUUCUGCAUUAAGCUUCCCUGACUGUGGACACUCGGGACCCUCAGUCUUACCUGCCUCAGAUAGAGAGGCUCCCGCCUGAUGUCUCGUGACACCUGCUAAGUGCCAGCCAGGGCUGCUGGUU